AGUUAUCACCUGCCUUUAAUCUCACCUGAGCACUCUGGAGCCCUUAGGUUAGCCCCAGGCUGAGAGCAGCUUCACUCUCUGCAGAACAGCUACUGUAUGGACCAGUCCAAGAAUCUCCACAAUUCCCUGCCCAGCUCCCCUUAAAAUCGCUGGUAAAAGACCAAGGAACGGAGGUGUAUCUUAUGCUAAAUACUCUAGUCCAGUAUUCAUGAAACGCAUCCCGGGGACAGGGCGAUAUUCAUUGUGUGGUCUGUGGCUCCUUCCUUCUGUGAACUUCCUUGGAGCAUAUGUGGCGGCUGGAUCCUGCAGGAGUUUAGUUCCCAUAUUCUGCCCCUGGGAUCAGCGUCUGGCAGAAUAAAAUGGCCUCAAUACCCUUCUAAUAGAAAGCAGAAAUGACACUGUGUGGCACAGGGACACGGGGGCAGAUUUAUACAGAUAUGGGCCCAAACUGGUAUCAUUCCUUUACCUGAACCCCUGCAAACUUUGGGGGUUCUGAUUAAACCGGAUCCAGAUUUGAAUCACCCCUUUGUUUUGCAACCAAAGCUAAAUGCCCUUUGGCCCAUUUCCAAAUGCAUCUUGGAGGGGCAUAGGGGAGUGAGUGGGUUUGUAAGACAGAAGGGCAAUGGGACCCUGGUGGAAGGGUGCCAAUGUACAAUUUGUCCUUUACUGGACCGGCAUUACAGAGCUAGUCAGAACAUAGUUUUACUGGGUGUGCAGCAGAAUAGCCUGGCGCAGGUGUGCAUUUCCACAUACAUGUUAAAAAUACACGUCUUUUCUUGUGUGGCUGUAGCCUAUGGGGCCUUGACAGGGUCAGCUGCCUCAGGGCCAAUGGUGGCUCUGCCACCCCCUGCCUCAUUUUCCCCUUCUUCU